AUUGAACGCUGGCGGCAGGCUUAACACAUGCAAGUCGAGCGGGGAAGGGUAGCUUGCUACCUAACCUAGCGGCGGACGGGUGAGUAAUGCUUAGGAAUCUGCCAUUUAGUGGGGGACAACAUUCCGAAAGGAAUGCUAAUACCGCAUACGUCCUACGGGAGAAAGCAGGGGAUCUUCGGACCUUGCGCUAAAUGAUGAGCCUAAGUCGGAUUAGCUAGUUGGUGGGGUAAAGGCCUACCAAGGCGACGAUCUGUAGCGGGUCUGAGAGGAUGGUCCGCCACACUGGGACUGAGACACGGACCAGACUCCUACGGGAGGCAACAGUGGGGAAUAUUGGACAAUGGGCGGAAGCCUGAUCCAGCCAUGCCGCGUGUGUGAAGAAGGCCUUAUGGUUGUAAAGCCCUUUAAGCGAGGAGGAGGCUACCUAGAUUAAUACUCUAGGAUAGUGGACGUUACUCGCAGAAUAAGCACCGGCUAACUCUGUGCCAGCCGCCGCAGUAAUAC
rnacentral:rRNA from 1 species